GAUGAACGCUGACAGAAUGCUUAACACAUGCAAGUCGACCUGUGGCGGACUGGUGAGUACCGCGUAAAGAACUUGCAUCACAGCUAGGGACAACAUUUGGAAACGAAUGCUAUUCCCUGAUACUGUGAGAGAGCUUUGCGUCCAAUUAGCUAGUUGGAGAGGUAACGGCACACCAAGGCGAUGAUGGGUAGCCGGACUGGGAGGGUGAUCGGCCACAAGGGGACAGGGAAACGGCCAUUACGCCUACUGGCGGCAGCAGUGGGGAAUAUAGGACAAUGGACCAAAGUGUGAUCCAGCAAUUCUGUGUGCACGAUGAAGUUUUAGGAAUGUAAAGUGGUGUCAGUUGCGAAGCGGUACCAACAGAAGAAGCGACGGCUAAAUACGUGCCAGCAGCCGCGGUAAUUC
rnacentral:rRNA from 1 species